AGUGAACGCUGGCGGUAGGCCUAACACAUGCAAGUCGAACGGCAGCACAGUAAGAGCUUGCCCUUACGGGUGGCGAGUGGCGGACGGGUGAGGAAUACAUCGGAAUCUACUUUUUCGUGGGGGAUAACGUAGGGAAACUUACGCUAAUACCGCAUACGACCUACGGGUGAAAGCAGGGGAUCUUCGGACCUUGCGCGAUUGAAUGAGCCGAUGUCGGAUUAGCUAGUUGGCGGGGUAAAGGCCCACCAAGGCGACGAUCCGUAGCUGGUCUGAGAGGAUGAUCAGCCACACUGGAGCUGAGACACGGUCCAGACUCCUACGGGAGGCAGCAGUGGGGAAUAUUGGACAAUGGGCGCAAGCCUGAUCCAGCCAUACCGUGUGGGUGAAGAAGGCCUUCGGGUUGUAAAGCCCUUUUGUUGGGAAAGAAAAGCAGCAGGUUAAUACCCCGCUGUUCUGACGGUACCCAAAGAAUAAGCACCGGCUAACUUCGUG
rnacentral:rRNA from 1 species